AGUGGUCCCCCCUGUACUAAGCUGUCCAGAAGGAGAACAGCAGUGGCACAAGCCCAGAACUUUAGGUAUAAAACCUGGCCCCGUGGACAAGAUGACUGUGCUGUCUGCUAAACCGAAGAGUGGAGCAACAACAGAGGGUGUAAGGAGCACACUCUACAAAGGCCUUAGUGGGGAUUUGCCGGACCUUUCUGUCCUUAGAGUUUCCGAGGUGUAUGAAGAUUUUGCAGCAGCUGAUGCACCAAUGAUCUGCAGCAUGGGAAUCAGCCAUGAAUUUCCCCUUGUUGACUCUGCCCUUGGCAAAGUUCAGGCUGGAAGUCCUCUGUCCUACCAACAGCCAGCAACAGCAAAGAGAGACAUGUCCUUCCAUGCUGCACCACCCCGCCCAUCUCUGCCUCUUAAGAACUACCACCUACAGCCAUCAAAAAGCAUGUUUGUUUGUUCUGAACCACAACAGCUACACCUUAAAAGUAUGGAGGUCACCUGGGACAUGGUGAAUAAACUAAAAAAAACUCAUGUUUACUAUUGGCAGGUUCAGGGGCAGAUGCUAAUAACUGGGAUGAACUGGUGUGAUUUUGUUGUCUCAGCUGAGGAAGAUAUUCUUAUUCAAAGAAUUUAUGCAGACACUAAUGUGAUGGAUUCAAUCAAACACAAAGUAGACAGAUAUUUUUUCUAUGUUUACCUGCAGAAAUGUCUAAAUUAGGAGUUUGAUCAAAUCAAAUGUACAAAUUUGUUUCAAAAUAUUUCCAUCAUGAAUAUCUAUUUACAAAUGUAAGACA